UAGUGGCGAACGGGUGAGUAACACGUGGGCAAUCUGCCCUGCACUCUGGGACAAGCCCUGGAAACGGGGUCUAAUACCGGAUACAACCACUGACCGCAUGGUCGGGUGGUGGAAAGCUCCGGCGGUGCAGGAUGAGCCCGCGGCCUAUCAGCUUGUUGGUGAGGUAGUGGCUCACCAAGGCGACGACGGGUAGCCGGCCUGAGAGGGCGACCGGCCACACUGGGACUGAGACACGGCCCAGACUCCUACGGGAGGCAGCAGUGGGGAAUAUUGCACAAUGGGCGAAAGCCUGAUGCAGCGACGCCGCGUGAGGGAUGACGGCCUUCGGGUUGUAAACCUCUUUCAGCAGGGAAGAAGCGAAAGUGACGGUACCUGCAGAAGAAGCGCCGGCUAACUACGUGCCAGCAGCCGCGGUAAUACGUAGGGCGCAAGCGUUGUCCGGAAUUAUUGGGCGUAAAGAGCUCGUAGGCGGCUUGUCGCGUCGGUUGUGAAAGCCCGGGGCUUAACCCCGGGUCUGCAGUC
rnacentral:rRNA from 1 species